ensembl:snRNA U6 U6 spliceosomal RNA
GUGCUUACUUUGGUAGUCCAUAUGCUAAAACUAAAAUGAUACAGAGAUCAGCAAAGCCCCUGCACAAGGAUGACAUGAAAAUUUAUGAAGCAUUUCAUAUUUUU